UCCCUGGUGGUCCAAUGGUUAAGACUUCACCUUUCUAUGCAGAGGGUGCAGGUUCGAUUCCUGAUCAGAGAA
rnacentral:tRNA from 1 species